rnacentral:rRNA from 1 species
CAGCCGCGGUAAUACGGAGGAUCCGAGCGUUAUCCGGAUUUAUUGGGUUUAAAGGGAGCGUAGGUGGACGCUUAAGUCAGUUGUGAAAGUUUGCGGCUCAACCGUAAAAUUGCAGUUGAUACUGGAUGUCUUGAGUACAGUAGAGGCAGGCGGAAUUCGUGGUGUAGCGGUGAAAUGCUUAGAUAUCACGAAGAACUCCGAUUGCGAAGGCAGCCUGCUGGACUGCAACUGACACUGAUGCUCGAAAGUGUGGGUAUCAAACAGGAUUAGAAACCC